GCGGAAGUAGCUCAGCUGGUAGAGCAUCACCUUGCCAAGGUGGGGGUCGCGGGUCCGAAUCCCGUCUUCCGCUCCA
rnacentral:tRNA from 2 species